GCUCAGUAACACGUGGGUAACCUGCCCUGUGCUGGGGGAUAACCUCGGGAAACUGAGAACAAUACCCCAUAGUCCACUACGCCUGGAACGGUGAGUGGAUGAAAGCCCCGGCGGCACAGGAUGGGCCUGCGGCGUAUCAGGUAGUAGGGGGUGUAAAGUACCCUCUAGCCUUCGACGCGUACGGGUUGUGAGAGCAAUAGCCCGGAGAUGGAUUCUGAGACACGAAUCCAGGCCCUACGGGACGCAGCAGUCGCGAAACCUUGACAAUGCGGGAAACCGUGAUCAGGGAACUCCAAGUGCCAGGAGUAAGAUCCUGUGCUUUUCUUUUCUCUUCAAAGGAUUUGGAAUAAGAGGUGGGUAAGGACGGUGCCAGCCGCCGCGGUAAUACCGGCGCCUCGAGUGGUAGUCGAUUUUAUUGGGCCUAAAACGUCCGUCGCCGGUCUGGUGCAUUCGUGGGUAAAUCAACCCGCUCAACGGGUUGAAUUCUGCGAGCACGGCCAGACUAGGGACCGGGAGAGGUGUGGGGUACGCUCGGGGUAGGGGUAAAAUCC
rnacentral:rRNA from 1 species